GGCGGGAUAGCUCAGUAGGUAGAGCACGUGAUUGAAGCUCACGGUGUCCACGGUUCGAAUCCGUGUCCCGCCA
rnacentral:tRNA from 1 species